rnacentral:rRNA from 1 species
UACGUAGGGUGCAAGCGUUAAUCGGAAUUACUGGGCGUAAAGCGUGCGCAGGCGGUUGUGUAAGACAGAUGUGAAAUCCCCGGGCUCAACCUGGGAACUGCAUUUGUGACUGCACAGCUGGAGUGCGGCAGAGGGGGAUGGAAUUCCGCGUGUAGCAGUGAAAUGCGUAGAUAAUGCGGAGGAACACCGAUGGCGAAGGCAAUCCCCUGGGCCUGCACUGACGCUC